GUCAAGUCUAACUAAGCUCAGUCACACUGAGAACGAGGAACCAAACCGUGUGUGAUCUGGUAUUACAUUUUGUAACAAAGACAAAGCACAUCGUACACAUUUUAACUUUUAGAUCAGGAAAAAGAUAAAGAACAAAUUUAUUCAUCAGACUAUAACAAGAAUUAAAGAUGAGUGAUAGCGUGAAGCAUAGAAAUUUUUUGGACUUUGCUUUGCAAAUCCAAAAUGUUAACGUUGUUCCAGGUAUUGGUCCUACUUAUGCUGCCAACCUGGCAACUAAUGGUUAUACCCAGGCCAGUCAGCUGUAUAUGCUGUUGAUAUUUUGUAACGGAAAUCAAGAACAGUUUGUAACCAGGCUUCAAGAAUUGACUGGAGGAGGAUCGCGAAACAAUAUGAUCCUGGCAUACAACGCAUUAAUGGAAUGGCACAGACAGCGUGGUAGCAUAUCUAUUUAAUAGAUAAACAUUUUAUCUGAAUACCAAUUAUUGAUAUAUCAACAAUAGAAAGAUGUAUGCCGAAACUGGUUACCAACCCUUGAUUCAACAAUGAAGACAACUUUGAUAAUUUCUGGAGACUUUUGGACAUUUAUUAUAAACACUUAACCUAUAGCUAAUUACACUGGACUGAAUAUACCAGAACUUUAAAUUGCUAUGAACAAUCUCAAGUCUGAUAACUGCUUAUUGAUUUUUAGUUUAAUUAGAUUUGGAUACACAUUCUUUGAACUUAAGGAUGUCUGCUAAUUAUUUUUUAUUACUGUUUUUCAAUAUAGACAUUUGGAAGCAACUAGUUUUUACCUGUUAACCCCUACUUUCUCUUUUUAUAAUUUUAUCAAUAUCCAUAUUGAUUGUUUGAACUGCAUUUCUGAAAACCUUUUAACAUUCUUGUUUUUUUUUUAUAGUUUUUGAAAGGAAACAGGUGCCAAUUAAAAAUUUAUGAAAAAUCUAGAGAGAAUCAUUUCCCACCAAAUUUUCAAUAGCUAAUAUAUCUCAAAAAUAAGGACACUGACUGGGCGGGGUUCAUGCUUUUCUGCUUUUUAAGUACCAUUGUUCAUGUAAAUCAAUUCACAACAGUCUUUUAAAAAGAUUGUUAUUUUGUAACAGUGUCUGUAGCAAUCACCCUUGAACCAAAAUGACAGUAUGCAGUGAACAACUGAAUACUUUGCUUUGUCAAAUGUUUUUUUAAUGGUUUUAAGCUAUUUUUCAUAACUCAAUUUUAAAUUUUGGCAAUUAAAUAUUUUAUAAAAUAAAUUAAAGUCUGCAGUUUACAUGAAACUUAGCUGAAAUUAUAUUUAAAAUAUUUUUGGGAACUUUUAAAAAAAUUUAUUGAUUAGGGUUGAUGUUGGACUAACACAUGAAGCUAUGGGACAAUUGUCGGAUCCAGGGUUGAUACAGAUUAUUUUUGCAUUAUUAGAUUUUAAAUGUAUAUUUUAACAACAAGUGUUGAUUUUUGGAAUUUAGUUUGGAUUAUUUCACACGUUACUGACCAUUGAAAAUUCUUAGAUAAAGUAAUAUUUUGUCAAAUUAGGCCUUUGCAUUUGGAAUCAUAGUUUUUUGUCAGUUUAUAAUAUGAUGGUAAUUUCUUUUGUGAACAUCUAGGCGUAUUACAUAAAAUGUAUUUGUUCCGUACAUUAUAUGAAUUAUGUUGAUAUAUCAAUUUUUAAUAAACAAUUAAUCUUAA